AUGAAGUUUCUUUGUUGGCAAAAAUCAAUCCAUGGUUCUUAAAAACAAAUAUGGAGUGAAGUGUGAGAGGGCUAAUUAGUUGCUAAUUACUACUAAUUACAUCAUCCUUUACACUCUCCCUCCAUUUUUACAAAAACAGUUUGCUUUGUGCUUUAGCUAUUGGCUUCUCAUAUCAAAAAGGGAUGUGCUUUUUUCUGAGUAGCAGAAGCAAAUAAUUAAGCAUUUUUCUUCAAAGAUCAGAAGCUUUGGUUAUUGUAUGGCAAACCGGCAAGUCACAAAAAGGCAAUGGAUUCCUUUUUGGAGUCUU
rnacentral:sRNA from 1 species